rnacentral:rRNA from 1 species
UGGGGAAUUUUGGACAAUGGACGCAAGUCUGAUCCAGCAAUGCCGCGUGCAGGAUGAAGGCCUUCGGGUUGUAAGCUGCUUUUGUACGGAACGAAACGGUCUGCCUUAAUACGGUGGGCUAAUGACGGUACCGUAAGAAUAAGCACCGGCUAACUACGUGCCAGCAGCCGCGGUAAUACGUAGGGUGCGAGCGUUAAUCGGAAUUACUGGGCGUAAAGCGUGCGCAGGCGGUUAUAUAAGACAGAUGUGAAAUCCCCGGGCUCAACCUGGGACCUGCAUUUGUGACUGUAUAGCUAGAGUACGGUAGAGGGGGAUGGAAUUCCGCGUGUAGCAGUGAAAUGCGUAGAUAUGCGGAGGAACACCGAUGGCGAAGGCAGCUCACUAAGUUGUAACUGACGCUCAUGCACGAAAGCGUGGGGAUCAAACAGG